rnacentral:rRNA from 1 species
UAGGGAAUCUUCGGCAAUGGACGAAAGUCUGACCGAGCAACGCCGCGUGAGUGAAGAAGGUUUUUCGGAUCGUAAAAACUCUGUUGUUAGAGAAGAACGACGAGGAGAGUGGAAAAGCUCCUGUGUGACGGUAUCUAACCAGAAAGGGACGGCUAACUACGUGCCAC